GAAGUUCAGAAGGCGUGGAAAGUUUCAUUCACGUUGCAAUCAGAUUUAAAGUCUGAGAAUAUCAUGCUUUUGGACAAGCAUAAGAUAGAAAAAGAACAAAACGCUCAGCUCAGAAAUCAGGUAGCUCAACUGUUACAGAUGGAACAGGAGCAGAAAUUGCAGAUGCAGCAACGAGAUUCCACAAUUGAGACAUUGCAGGCUAAAAUUAAAAGCAUGGAGUCGCAACUCAACAAAGC
rnacentral:misc_RNA from 1 species